GGUGGGAGGAUCAUUUGAGCCUGGGAGGUAGAGGCUGCAGUGAGCCGUGAUCACACCACUGCACUCCAGCCUGAGUGACAGAGUUAGACCCUGUCUC
rnacentral:miRNA from 1 species